GAGUAGUAGUGAAGAAUAACAGUGCAAUACUCCAUUGGCAGGAAAUAUUAUGAUGAUGAAUUGUAUAUGGUUUCUGCCAAAGGAGAAUUGCCCUGCAAUUCAUUCAACUACCC
rnacentral:pre_miRNA from 1 species